GGACACGAGGCCAGCUUUGAAGAUUUGGGUCUCCAAUGCUGCAACUAGGCACAGAGCCAAACAUCCAAAUGAUAUCCGGAGUAUCACAUGAAAGAGUGACAAUAGGGUUGGCAAUUCCGAACAAUUCUGCCUGAUAACCUACUUACUGCCAGUGCCCAACUACAUCUGAUGCUGCGACUUCUUGGACAAAGCAAAAACUUUCUGCUGACUAACAUCUCCACUUUGCCCCAACCUGCUGGAUGCUCUGGGUGAAAAGGAGGCUUUAAAACCGUUAAAAGCAG
rnacentral:lncRNA from 1 species